rnacentral:tRNA from 1 species
GCGUGGGUCUAAUAAGCCCAAGGUCGCAGGUUCGACCCCUGCUGGCGGCA